rnacentral:rRNA from 1 species
UACGUAGGGUGCGAGCGUUGUCCGGAAUUAUUGGGCGUAAAGGGCUCGUAGGCGGUUUGUCACGUCGGGAGUGAAAACUCGGGGCUUAACCCCGAGCCUGCUUCCGAUACGGGCUGACUAGAGGGAUGCAGGGGAGAACGGAAUUCCUGGUGUAGCGGUGAAAUGCGCAGAUAUCAGGAGGAACACCGGUGGCGAAGGCGGUUCUCUGGGCAUUACCUGACGCUGAGGAGCGAAAGUGUGGGGAGCGAACAGG